UACGUAGGGCGCGAGCGUUGUCCGGAAUUAUUGGGCGUAAAGAGCUCGUAGGCGGCCUGUUGCGUCCGCUGUGAAAUCCCGGGGCUUAACCCCGGGCUUGCAGUGGAUACGGGCAGGCUGGAGGCAGGCAGGGGAGAACGGAAUUCCCGGUGUAGCGGUGAAAUGCGCAGAUAUCGGGAGGAACACCGGUGGCGAAGGCGGUUCUCUGGGCCUGUACUGACGCUGAGGAGCGAAAGCGUGGGGAGCGAACAGGAUUAAGAUACCCGUGG
rnacentral:rRNA from 1 species